AAAUUGAAGAGCUGACCAUGGCUCAGAUUGACGCUGGCGGCAGGCCUAACACAUGCAAGUCGAACGGUAACAGAAAGCAGUUUGCUGUUUCGCUGACGAGUAUGGACGGGUGAGUAAUGUGUCUGGGAACCGCCUCAUGAGGAUAACUACUGCGCCCGCGGCACUGCAUAACGUCGCAAGACCAAAGAGGGGGGACCCGGCCUCUUUUGCACAUCAGAUGUGCCCAGAUGGGAUUAUUGUUGGUGAGGUAACGGCUCACCAAGGCGACGAUCCCUAGCUGGUCUGGAGAGGAUGACCAGCCACACUGGAACUGAGACACGAACCAGACCCUACGGGAGGCAGCAGUGGGGAAUAUUGUACAAUGGGCGCAAGCCUGAUGCAGCCAUGCCGCGUGUAAGGAAGAAGGCCUGGCCGUAAAGUACCAGCGGGAGGAAGGUGUUGUGGUUAAUAACCGCAGCAAUUGACGUUACCCGCAGAAGAAGCACCGGCUAACCCGUGCCAGCAGCCGCGGUAAUACGGAGGGUGCGAGCGUUAAUCGGAAUUACUGGGCGUAAAGCGCACGCAGGCGGGUCUGUCAAGUCGGAUGUGAAAUCCUGGGCUCAAACCUGAACUGCAUUCGAAACUGGCAGGCUUGAGUCUUGUAGAGGGGGUAGAAUUCCGUGUAGCGGGUGAAAUGCGCAGAGAUCUGGAGGAAUACCGGUGGCGAAGGUGCGUCCUCGACAAAGACUGACGCCUGAAAAGUGAAAGCGGGGAGCAAACAGGAUUGAUACCCCAGAACCACGCUGUAAACGAUGUCUACUUGGAGGUUGCGCCCCUGAGGCGUGGCUUCCGAGCUAAAGUAUAGACCGCCCUCGGGAGUACGGGCCGCAAAGGUUAAAACCUCAAAAUGAAUUGACGGGGCCCGCACAAGCGGUGGAGCACGUGGUUUACCCGAUGCAACGAAGAACCUUACCCGGCUCCUGACAUCCACGAAGUUUUCAGAGAUGAGAAUGCGCCUCGGGAACCGUGUGAGACAGGUGCUGCAUGGCUGUCGUCAUUCGUGUGCUUGUGAAAUGUUGGUUAGUCCCGCAACGAGCGCAACCCUUAUCCUUUUGUUGCCAGCGGUCCGGGCUGGAACUCAAAGGAGACUGCCAGUACAACUGGAGGAAGGUGGGGAUGACGUCAAGUCAUCAUGGCCUUACGACCAGGCUACACACGUGCUACAAUGGCGCAUACAAAGAGAAGACCCGAGAGCAAGCGGACCUCAUAAAGUGCGUCAAACUGAUUGAGUUCGCAACGGACUCCAUGGUCGGAAUCGCUAGUAAUCGCGUGGAUCGUGAAUGCCACGGUGAAUACGUUCCCGGGCCUUGCACACACCGCCCGUCACACCAUGGAGUGGGUUGCAAAGGCGCAGGCAGCUUUAACCUUCGGGAGGGCGCUUACCACUUUGUGAUCUCAUGACUGGGGUGAAGUCGCAACAAGGUAACCGUAGGGGAACCUGGUAUGGAUUCACCCUUAC
rnacentral:rRNA from 1 species